rnacentral:rRNA from 1 species
UCAAGUCGAGCGGGCCAUUGUCAGCGGCAGAGAUAACACGGGAACGUACCUGGUUAAUAACGCUGGGAAGAGCGUUAAUACGGAUACGCCUUUUGGGGAAAGGCUUGCUGCGAAGGAUCGGCCCUAAUCUGUUACAUAGUUGGGGGGGUAAUGGCCUACCAGGGGGACGUUCAGCACCUGGUAUGAGAGGCGAUCACCCACUCUUGGAGUGAGCCACGGCCCAGAAUCUUACCGAGGCAGCAGUGGGGAAUAUUGGCCAAUGGGCGCAAGCCUGAUCCCGCCAUGCCGCGUGAGUGAUGAAGGCCUUAGGGUUGUAAAGCUCUUUUGUCCGGGACGAUAAUGACGGUACCGAAGAAUAAGCCCCGGCUAACUUCGUGCCAGCAGCCGCGGUAAUACGAAGGGGGCGAGCGUUGCUCGGAAUCACUGGGCGUAAAGGGCGCGUAGGCGGCCAUUCAAGUCGGGGGUGAAAGCCUGGGGCUCAACCUCAGAAUUGCAUUCGAUACUUUUGGCUUGAGUUUGGUAGAGGUGGGUGGAAUUUCGAGUGUAGAGGUGAAAUUCGUAGAUAUUGCAAGAACACCAGUGCUUGGGGCCUGAACCCCUGACGCUGAGCGCGAAAGCGUGCU